CCUUAGCCCCGAUUGCAGUAAAAAUCCUUUUUUGAAGAAAAAGAUUGCAACGGAAAGCGGGAAACAGC
rfam:Chryseobacterium sp. Leaf201 contig_27, whole genome shotgun sequence.